rnacentral:tRNA from 1 species
UCCCUGAUGGUCCAGUGGCUACAACUCUGCACUCCCAAUGCUGGGGGCCCAGGUUAGAUUCUUGGUCAGGGAA